UACGUAGGGUGCGAGCGUUGUCCGGAAUUAUUGGGCGUAAAGAGCUCGUAGGCGGUUUGUUGCGUCUAUCGUGAAAACCUGCAGCUUAACUGUGGGCUUGCGGUGGAUACGGGCAGACUUGAGUUCGGUAGGGGAGACUGGAAUUCCUGGUGUAGUGGUGAAAUGCGCAGAUAUCAGGAGGAACACCGGUGGCGAAGGCGGGUCUCUGGGCCGAUACUGACGCUGAGGAGCGAAAGCGUGGGGAGCGAACAGG
rnacentral:rRNA from 1 species